rnacentral:rRNA from 1 species
GCGGCAGGCUUAACACAUGCAAGUCGAGCGGGGAAGAGUAGCUUGCUACUUAACCUAGCGGCGGACGGGUGAGUAAUGCUUAGGAAUCUGCCUAUUAGUGGGGGACAACAUCUCGAAAGGGAUGCUAAUACCGCAUACGUCCUACGGGAGAAAGCAGGGGACCUUCGGGCCUUGCGCUAAUAGAUGAGCCUAAGUCGGAUUAGCUAGUUGGUGGGGUAAAGGCCUACCAAGGCGACGAUCUGUAGCGGGUCUGAGAGGAUGAUCCGCCACACUGGGACUGAGACACGGCCCAGACUCCUACGGGAGGCAGCAGUGGGGAAUAUUGGACAAUGGGGGGAACCCUGAUCCAGCCAUGCCGCGUGUGUGAAGAAGGCCUUUUGGUUGUAAAGCACUUUAAGCGAGGAGGAGGCUACCGAGAUUAAUACUCUUGGAUAGUGGACGUUACUCGCAGAAUAAGCACCGGCUAACUCUGUGCCAGCAGCCGCGGUAAUACAGAGGGUGCAAGCGUUAAUCGGAUUUACUGGGCGUAAAGCGCGCGUAGGUGGCCAAUUAAGUCAAAUGUGAAAUCCCCGAGCUUAACUUGGGAAUUGCAUUCGAUACUGGUUGGCUAGAGUAUGGGAGAGGAUGGUAGAAUUCCAGGUGUAGCGGUGAAAUGCGUAGAGAUCUGGAGGAAUACCGAUGGCGAAGGCAGCCAUCUGGCCUAAUACUGACACUGAGGUGCGAAAGCAUGGGGAGCAAACAGGAUUAGAUACCCUGGUAGUCCAUGCCGUAAACGAUGUCUACU